rnacentral:rRNA from 1 species
AGAGGAUGAUCAGCCACACUGGAACUGACACACGGUCCAGACUCCUACGGGAGGCAGCAGUGAGGAAUUUUGCGCAAUGGGGGAAACCCUGACGCAGCAACGCCGCGUGAGUGAUGAAGGCUUUCGGGUCGUAAAGCUCUGUCAAGUGGGAAGAAUCCACGUGAUGCCAAUACCAUCAUGUGCUGACGGUACCACUGAAGGAAGCACCGGCUAACUCCGUGCCAGCAGCCGCGGUAAUACGGGGGGUGCAAGCGUUAUUCGGAAUUACUGGGCGUAAAGAGCGCGUAGGCGGUUUUUUAAGUCAGGUGUGAAAGCCCGGGCUCAACCCCGGAAGUGCACUUGAAACUAAGGGACUUGAGUAUGGGAGAGGGAAGUGGAAUUCCUGGUGUAGCGGUGAAAUGCGUAGAUAUCAGGAGGAACACCUGUGGCGAAGGCGACUUCCUGGACCAAUACUGACGCUGAGGCGCGAAGGCGUGGGGAGCAAACAGGAUUAGAUACCCUGGUAGUCCACGCAGUAAACGGUGAACACUAGGUGUAGCGGGUAUUGACCCCUGCUGUGCCGAAGCUAACGCAUUAAGUGUUCCGCCUGGGGAGUACGGCCGCAAGGUUAAAACUCAAAGGAAUUGACGGGGGCCCGCACAAGCGGUGGAGCAUGUGGUUUAAUUCGACGCAACGCGAAGAACCUUACCUGGGUUUGACAUCCCGAGAAUCCUGUAGAAAUACGGGAGUGCCCUUCGGGGAGCUCGGUGACAGGUGCUGCAUGGCUGUCGUCAGCUCGUGUCAUGAGAUGUUGGGUUAAGUCCCGCAACGAGCGCAACCCUUGUCUUUAGUUACCAUCAUUCAGUUGGGGACUCUAAAGAUACUGCCCCGGUCAACGGGGAGGAAGGUGGGGAUGACGUCAAGUCCUCAUGGCCUUUAUGCCCAGGGCUACACACGUGCUACAAUGGGCUGUACAAAGGGUAGCAACAUCGUGAGAUGAAGCCAACCCCGUAAAGCAGCUCGUAGUUCGGAUUGGAGUCUGCAACUCGACUCCAUGAAGCUGGAAUCGCUAGUAAUCGUGGAUCAGCAUGCCACGGUGAAUACGUUCCCGGGCCUUGUACACACCGCCCGUCACACCAUGAGAGUUGGUUGUACCAGAAGUCGUUGGGCAAACCAUUCGUGGAUGCAGGCGCCUAAGGUAUGGCUGAUGAUUGGGGUGAAGUCGUAACAAGGUA